AGGGUGUAGCUCAGUGGUAGAGCGCAUGCUUGGAAUGCACAAGGUCCUGGGUUCAAUCCUGGUACCUCUG
rnacentral:tRNA from 1 species